rnacentral:rRNA from 1 species
CGUGCCUAACUACAUGCAAGUCGAGCGGACUUGAUGGAGUGCUUGCACUCCUGAUGGUUAGCGGCGGACGGGUGAGUAACACGUAGGUAACCUGCCCAUAAGACUGGGAUAACCCACGGAAACGUGAGCUAAUACCAGAUAGGCAUUUUCCUCGCAUGAGGGAGAUGAGAAAGGCGGAGCAAUCUGUCACUUAUGGAUGGACCUGCGGCGCAUUAGCUAGUUGGUAAGGUAACGGCUUACCAAGGCGACGAUGCGUAGCCGACCUGAGAGGGUGAUCGGCCACACUGGGACUGAGACACGGCCCAGACUCCUACGGGAGGCAGCAGUAGGGAAUCUUCCGCAAUGGACGAAAGUCUGACGGAGCAACGCCGCGUGAGUGAUGAAGGUUUUCGGAUCGUAAAGCUCUGUUGCCAGGGAAGAACGCCUAGGAGAGUAACUGCUCUUAGGGUGACGGUACCUGAGAAGAAAGCCCCGGCUAACUACGUGCCAGCAGCCGCGGUAAUACGUAGGGGGCGAGCGUUGUCCGGAAUUAUUGGGCGUAAAGCGCGCGCAGGCGGCAAUGUAAGUUGGGUGUUUAAACCUAGGGCUCAACCUUGGGUCGCAUCCAAAACUGCAUAGCUUGAGUACAGAAGAGGAAAGUGGAAUUCCACGUGUAGCGGUGAAAUGCGUAGAGAUGUGGAGGAACACCAGUGGCGAAGGCGAC